GGUCAGGCUGGACCCAGGGACCUCCCUUCCCUGGGCGGGAGAGAGCGGAAGCGGCCCCGGGGCAGGCUGGGAGAUGUAGUUCCUGACUCUCCCUGGACCGGAAGUGACGCUGGGUGGGAGAGAACAAGGCGAGUUGCAAGCGCGCGCGGGCCGCUCCGGCUCUGCCUGGCUCUCGCGGGGCCGUUGGAGCCUCUCCCGGGUCCGGAGAAGGGUUCUGUGUCUCCCGGCUCUGGGCAUGCGCAGAUCGGGCGGGAGGAGAGUCCCGCACACGCAGAGGCCGCGUCACCCGUUGCUGGUGCCUGGGGCCGGGGGCGGGCGGAGCAGGAGAGUUUGUGCCAAUACAGACUAACUCGGCCGCUACUCUGAACAUUGAGACCAAUGUUAAUCCAGAGUCACUGUAUGGAAAGACAAGGAGUGACUCCAGAUGGACAGUGGGGCAAAUGGGAUCAGCAAUUCUCCCUAUGAGGAGGGGCUCCCAUUAGCUGCUCUCCCUGGAGAGCUAAAGGAGGGAAGCUGCUCAAACGCUCUGUCUCUCUCUGCUCAGGAUAUUGGGGUUCAGCUUCCUGGGUCAGACACUGCAGCCUCCAUUGUGAUCUGGGAGACGAGGCUUGGCAGCUGCUGCUACCCCAGUGGGGUUCUGUGCUGGCAAGUGACCUUAGUUCAAGCUUCUUUUCUGUCCAGCCCAGGGGAUUACUUUCUCCAGCUCGUACUAGCCCCUUGUGGGACACCUGGGCCCUGUUAAUACCAAUUCUACCACAGACUCCAGGUAACUGAAAGACCUCAGGGAAAGUGCUGGGGUCUGGCAAGAAAGUGACUGCACAAACAGCCCUUCCUCAUUUCUACUCCCAUUAGCAAUUGCCAGGAGAAAAUCCAGCCAUGGGAGAGCAAAGCUCCCAGGAAUGGGACUUUCCCAGCUAGAGGGGCAGGGAGAGAGGACAGGGGAAGGGGAGACUGAAAGUGGCAGUGGGAGAAAUGAAUGUAGGGGAGAGAUUUCCAGCUCUCUGGUCCACCCAGACACAUGUAUUGCUGCAUCCCGGGGCAGAACCACUUUCCAGUGAACAAAACAAGGAUCAGAGAGAGGAAAAGCCAGUUCCUGACUCCAUAUUCCCCUGCUGGGGUGUGGCUGCUCUGGGGUCAGUGUCCGAGGGAAUCCCCCACAGUGACUCCUUUGUUUCUGCUCUUUUCUAGCCUUGUGUUCAGAGACUUUGUUAUGAGGGGAGGGAGAAAGGAGGUUAAAAAUCUCUCUGUGGGCUUAGCCUGGCAGCAGGGGCCAGGUCUACAGUGUAAUAACAUGCUUGAUCUCUUUCUCAGCAUGGCAGAAUCUAGGGUGUCUGUCUGCAAGGAAAGGGCCUUGGAGAAUCAUCUGGUGAAAUUAACUGAAGUCUGUUCUGAAACCCUCACAACUGUCCUCCUCACCCAGACAGGUGGUAGAAUGACAUCCUUUUUUUGCUCCAGCUCAUCCCAUCCUCCCAUGGGAGAGGGAAGAUAAAUGAGUGCAGGGAAGCCUGUUAAGGGUCCGGUGACCUUCGAGGAGGUGGCUGUGUAUUUCACCAG